CGUAUGGUGCAAGCGUUAUCCGGAUUACUGGUGUAAGGAGCGUAGGUGGCAAGGCAAGCCAGAAGUGAAACCCGGGCUCAACCGCGGGAUUGCUUUGGAACUGUCAUGCUAGAGUGCAGGAGGUGAGCGGAAUUCCUAGUGUAGCGGUGAAAUGCGUAGAUAUUAGGAGGAACACCGGAGGCGAAGGCGGCUCACUGGACUGUAACUGACACUGAGGCUCGAAAGCGUGGGAGCAAACAGGAUU
rnacentral:rRNA from 1 species